ensembl:snRNA
AAAAAGGACUUUUGUCAUGAGUGGCACACGUGGGGCAACCCAACUGCUCUUCAUGAGGAAUCGACAUCAAGAGAUUUCAGAAGCGUAAUUUUUUGGUACCUGGGCAACUGGUGAUCGUUGGCCCCAGCGCCCGU